AUAAUACUUUAAGAAGCAAGAAGAAUAUUGGUUUACGUUUCUGAGUCAAAUAUGACUAGAUGUCAUGUGUAUGAUUGAGUAUAAGAACUAGAACCGCAACCGGUUCCCAAAAGCUAAAGCAGUAUUUCCUUGUUAGAAGAUACAAAGCCAAAGACUCAUUCAG
rnacentral:sRNA from 1 species